ACCCAUAUGACGAGUCCCAAAACGGGACGAAAUACGCAUCUUGGAU
rnacentral:hammerhead_ribozyme from 1 species